CCUACGGGUGGCAGCAGUCGAGAAUCAUUCACAAUGGGGGAAACCCUGAUGGUGCGACGCCGCGUGGGGGAAUGAAGGUCUUCGGAUUGUAAACCCCUGUCAUGUGGGAGCAAAUUAAAAAGAUAGUACCACAAGAGGAAGAGACGGCUAACGCUGUGCCAGCAGCCGAGGUAAUACAGAGGUCGCAAGCGUUGUUCGGAAUCACUGGGCGUAAAGCGUGCGUAGGCGGUUUCGUAAGUCGUAUGUGAAAGGCGCGGGCUCAACCGGCGGCCGGCACCUGAAACUGGGAGACUAGAGUAAAGGAGAGGGGACCGGAAUUCUCGGUGUAGCAGUGAAAUGCGUAGAUA
rnacentral:rRNA from 1 species